rnacentral:rRNA from 1 species
UACGUAGGGUGCGAGCGUUAAUCGGAAUUACUGGGCGUAAAGCGUGCGUAGGCGGUUCGUUAAGUGCGUCGUGAAAGCCCGGGCUCAACCUGGGAAUGGCGAUGGAAACUGGCGGGCUGGAGUAUGGCAGAGGGGGGGGUGGAAUUCCGCGUGUAGCAGUGAAAUGCGUAGAGAUGCGGAGGAACACCGAUGGCGAAGGCAGCCCCUGGGCCAAUACUGACGCUCAGGCACGAAAGCGUGGGGAGCAAACAGG